rnacentral:rRNA from 1 species
CAGCCGCCGCGGUAAUACGUAGGUGGCGAGCGUUGUCCGGAAUCAUUGGGCGUAAAAGGAGCGCAGGCGGGCAUGUAAGUCUUUCUUAAAAGUUCGGGGCUCAACCCCGUGAUGGGAAAGAAACUACAUGUCUUGAGUACAGGAGAGGAAAGCGGAAUUCCCAGUGUAGCGGUGAAAUGCGUAGAUAUUGGGAGGAACACCAGUGGCGAAGGCGGCUUUCUGGACUGCAACUGACGCUGAGGCUCGAAAGCCAGGGGAGCGAACGGGAUUAGAUACCCCUGUAGUCCCUGUCUCUUAUACC